UGUAUUUAGCACAAUGGUUAGUGUGCAUGAAUUUAACUGUGCUUUGUAAUCUGGUGGUCCUAGGUUCUAUCCCUGGACUUGCAC